ACAGGUGUUACAUCUCAGAGUGCUGAAGAAAUCUGCCAAUUUGAUAUCUGAGCAGCCAUCACUGUACACUGAAAAAUCCUAAAGGAAGGAAAACGUGCCAAGAUCUAAAAAGGAGUGGGAGCUUCCUGAGGCCUCAGCAGAAGUUGAGAAGAUGCUUGUGCCAUGCUUGUACAUCCUACAGAAAUGAAAUAUCUGAGGAUGCAGAACAUUGGAGUGGAAGUGAGGAACCAUGACAGAUGUAUUCAUGAACUAAGUCUAUUUCUUUGACUUCCAAGUACUAGAUUUUUAACCAGAUGAGCUAAUAAAACUAGGACAGAGUAUUUUCCUACA
rnacentral:lncRNA from 13 species